AGUGGAUGCCUGAUUUUGGUAAGUUCUAGAAUAUUUCUGAAUUACACAGCUAGGUUACUUCAUUACAUGACGUCUUUUACGCAGGAACCGAGUGUGAUCGUCUGAGCGGUGUGUUCACUCUGCGGGGAUGAUGGCCAGAGGAAGGAUGAUAGACAGACGACAGCUUGCAGAAGAAGAUGGGAGCGUUCUACCUGUGAGCCUGGUCGAGUUUAUAUUUUAUGGAUACACAUGCAUGGAUACACCAUACAUGGAUUCCCUACAAGGACCCUGCGCAUCAAAAGCAAUCUGUCAUCAAUGUUAAGUAGA